rnacentral:rRNA from 1 species
UACGGAGGAUGCAAGCGUUAUCCGGAAUGAUUGGGCGUAAAGCGUCCGCAGGUGGCUAUGUAAGUCUGCUGUUAAAGAGUGAGGCUCAACCUCAUAAGAGCAGUGGAAACUACAUAGCUAGAGUGCGUUCGGGGCAGAGGGAAUUCCUGGUGUAGCGGUGAAAUGCGUAGAUAUCAGGAAGAACACCGGUGGCGAAAGCGCUCUGCUAGGCCGCAACUGACACUGAGGGACGAAAGCUAGGGGGAGCGAAUGGG